CGUGCUGGACCAUGUCCAAGUCCCUUGGAACAGGGUAUCAAAGAGGGUGACAAUCCCGUACUUGACAUGACCACCAGUGCUCUGUGAUACACUUUCUACGAGUCGAGUUGUUUGGGAAUGCAGCUCAAAAUGGGUGGUAAAUUCCAUCUAAAGCUAAAUAUUGGCGAGAGACCGAUAGCGAACAAGUACCGUGAGGGAAAGAUGAAAAGCACUUUGGAAAGAGAGUUAAACAGUACGUGAAAUUGUUGAAAGGGAAACGAUUGAAGUCAGUCGUGUUCAUUGGACUCAGCCGGUUUUCGGUGUAUUUCCUUUGAACGGGUCAACAUCAGUUUUGUCCGGUGGAUAAAGGCAGGAAGAAAGUGGCUCCCUCGGGAGUGUUAUAGCUUUCUGUCACAUACACUGGAGGAGACUGAGGACUGCAGCUCGCCUUUUGGCCGGGGUUCGCCCACGUUCGAGCUUAGGAUGUUGACAUAAUGGCUUUAAACGACCCGUC
rnacentral:rRNA from 1 species